UACAGAGGUCUCAAGCGUUGUUCGGAUUCAUUGGGCGUAAAGGGUGCGUAGGCGGCGCGGUAAGUCGGGUGUGAAAUCGUCGGGCUUAACUCCGAAACUGCAUUCGAUACUGCCGUGCUUGAGGACUGGAGAGGAGACUGGAAUUUACGGUGUAGCGGUGAAAUGCGUAGAUAUCGUAAGGAAGACCAGUGGCGAAGGCGGGUCUCUGGACAGUUCCUGACGCUGAGGCACGAAGGCCAGGGGAGCAAACGGG
rnacentral:rRNA from 1 species